UACAGGGGGGGCAAGCGUUGUUCGGAAUUACUGGGCGUAAAGGGCUCGUAGGUGGCCAACUAAGUCAGACGUGAAAUCCCUCAGCUUAACUGGGGAACUGCGUCUGAUACUGGAUGGCUUGAGUUUGGGAGAGGGAUGCGGAAUUCCAGGUGUAGCGGUGAAAUGCGUAGAUAUCUGGAGGAACACCGGUGGCGAAGGCGGCAUCCUGGACCAACACUGACACUGGGGAGCGAAAGCCAGGGGAGCAAACGGG
rnacentral:rRNA from 1 species